GCCCCCGUAGCUCAGUGGAUAGAGCACAGGUUUCCUAAACCUGGUGUCGGCAGUUCGAUCCUGCCCGGGGGCA
rnacentral:tRNA from 1 species